ACCUUUGUGCCCUUCGCGAAUUCGUUCACUCCUUCCUUGCAUGUUGUUAGUGAGUGGCCGAAGCUGUGGCACUUCCCUUUCUUUUGAAGGCGUGAACGAAUUUCAAUUUGCAUCAUUGUGAACCUAGGCUACAUGGCCUUUGCUUCAUUAGGUACUGCGUUUCAUCGACCUGCUGCUCCUUGCCAAGUCCGCAAGAAAUGAUCCAGGGAAGAAAAUUCCAAUGAAGGGAGUUCGAAAACAACACUCUACGGCAGCGUGGACGUCUUCCAUCUUCAUGGGAGCUGCAGCGAAGGUGCGGUAAUAAUUGCUGCUGACUCGUUCCGACGCUGCCGACUCGUUCCGACGCUAUCUUUGUGGCAUCAGCUUUUCAGUUUAGGCCUCAGUGGCAUUUAGUCCCCAGGGAACUGAUCAGCUUGCAACACGGGGGGGAGAGUAUAACAUCUGGCAGGGGCAUCACUGGCCCAUCAGGCAGGGCUUUCGAAGCUGCAGCCAACCAGAGAAAAUGCCGAUCAUGACCUAAGGCGUAGUUGGAGUCAGCAUGGAUCAUGUGGCUUCUGUAUUUGCACAAAUGACAGUGACAGUCUAAUAUAGCUAUUCCUGAAGUAUAAAGGCCAUGCCAUACUUAUGUGAUGAUCAACGAAAGUCGCCUUAUCUUCACUGACCUCCAAUGCUUGCAAGCCAUCGUCGAGUCCUGCAGUUUAUUUCAAGUGUAGCGGCAAGCUUUGUCUAUGUCAUCAUGUUUUGUAAAUUUCUCAUUUCAUUUCUCUCGACAAGAGCGCAUUGAGCACAUUGAGCACUCUUUUGAACAGCCUGGAGCCUUUUUAUUUCUACAAGACAAUGUUUUGCAUGGUGCUACAUAUGCUAUGAUCACCUCUCUCUCCUUUCAUUACCCCCCCCCCCCCUCCCCCCCCCCAUACAAGUUUUGCAUGUGGGUUUAAUUUAAUAUGUAAAAACAGAAGGUACAACAUGCUCUAGGUUUUUUCAACCAACCGUGCACGCUGCUUUUCCGAAAUCCACUGCUCCUGAUUUCAGCUCCUGCUGUAUCUGCACUGGUAGUGCAUUUCUCUCCCUUUCCUACUUGUAUCAUUUAGAUUCAUGUAUUAAUCCCAAAGCAUAUAUUGAAAUCGCCACUUAGGAGCAUAUAUAGCCGGAAGGCGGAGAAUGUUUAGCAGAUCACACACAAAUAACUGCUGACAUUUAGAGUAACCAUAUUCACACUUCAUUGCUACCACAGAUUUCCUACUUUUUAAUUGCCUUUCUUUACCUUUGCUAGAAAAUUCAUUCUAUGUUGCUUAGUAAAAAUGUUAGUCAA